rnacentral:rRNA from 1 species
UUAAAUUGAAGAGUUUGAUCAUGGCUCAGAUUGAACGCUGGCGGCAGGCCUAACACAUGCAAGUCGAACGGUAACAGAAAGCAGCUUGCUGCUUUGCUGACGAGUGGCGGACGGGUGAGUAAUGUCUGGGAAACUGCCUGAUGGAGGGGG